GGGCAACCCUGGCGGCGAGCGGCGAACGGGUGAGUAACAUAUCGGAACGUACCCAGUAAUGGGGGAUAACUACCCGAAAGGGUAGCUAAUACCGCAUACGCCCUGAGGGGGAAAGCGGGGGAUCGCAAGACCUCGCGUUAUUGGAGCGGCCGAUAUCGGAUUAGCUAGUUGGUGGGGUAAAGGCCCACCAAGGCGACGAUCCGUAGCGGGUCUGAGAGGACGACCCGCCACACUGGAACUGAGACACGGUCCAGACUCCUACGGGAGGCAGCAGUGGGGAAUUUUGGACAAUGGGGGCAACCCUGAUCCAGCCAUUCCGCGUGAGUGAAGAAGGCCUUCGGGUUGUAAAGCUCUUUCGGCAGGAACGAAACGGCGGGCUCUAACAUAGCCUGUCACUGACGGUACCUGAAGAAGAAGCACCGGCUAACUACGUGCCAGCAGCCGCGGUAAUACGUAGGGUGCGAGCGUUAAUCGGAAUUACUGGGCGUAAAGCGUGCGCA
rnacentral:rRNA from 1 species